rnacentral:rRNA from 1 species
AUUCCAGCUCCAAUAGCGUAUAUUAAAGUUGUUGCAGUUAAAACGCUCGUAGUCGGAUUUCGGGGCCUGCCUGCCGGUCUGCCGAUGGGUAUGCACUGGCAGGCGCGUCCUUCCUUCCGGAGACUGUCCCUACUCUUAACUGAGCGGGGUCGGGAGACGGAUCGUUUACUUUGAAAAAAUCAGAGUGUUUCAAGCAGGCAGCUCGCUCUUGCAUGGAUUAGCAUGGGAUAAUGAAAUAGGACUUUGGUGCUAUUUUGUUGGUUUCGAACACCGAAGUAAUGAUUAACGGGGACAGUCAGGGGCACUCGUAUUCCGCCGAGAGAGGUGAAAUUCUCAGACCAGCGGAAGACGAACCACUGCGAAAGCAUUUGCCAGGGAUGUUUUCAUUG